CUGGCUCAGAACGAACGCUGGCAGCGUGGAUUAGGCAUGCAAGUCGAACGGGAUCCGGUAGGCAGCAAUGUCGGCCGGUGAGAGUGGCGGAAGGGCGAGGAACACGUGGGCAACCUGUCUCUGAGGUGGGGAAAACCGUUGGAAACGACGGCUAAUACCGAAUGUAGCGCCCGCUCGCAUGAGCGGAGCGCCAAAGGGGGCGAAAGCUCCCCCUCUCCGAGGGGCCCGCGCACCAUCAGCUUGUUGGCGGGGUAACGGCCCACCAAGGCUCACGGUUAGCUGGUCUGAGAGGAUGGCCAGCCGCACUGGGACUGAGAUACUGCCCAGACUCCUACGGGAGGCUGCAGUCGAGGAUCAUUUGCAAUGGGCGAAAGCCUGACAAUGCGACGCUGCGUGGAGGAUGAAGGCCCUCGGGUUGUAAACUCCUGUCAUGGGGGAAAAGGAAACCCUGCCCAAUACGCAGGGAAUUUGAUGGUACCCCAAGAGGAAGCGACGGCUAACUCUGUGCCAGCCGCGGC
rnacentral:rRNA from 1 species